GGUGAGAUGGCCGAGUGGUUAUGGCGCUGCGUUCAGGUUUAGCUGGAUAUAAAUAUCAAGUCUCGCAGUGGAGCAAUCCGCGUGGGUUCGAGUCCCACUCUCAUCA
rnacentral:tRNA from 1 species